rnacentral:lncRNA from 1 species
GAUUAGGAGGCCUCACAGUAACACCAGUGCACUGAUUCAGCUACCAGUGCUGUGUUCUUGAGGUUCGGUCUCUUCUGCCCCAGGGUGAGAAAGCCACGACAUGCAAGAUCAAGUCCUUCGCUUAACACCUGCUUAGAAAGAUUCCUGGCCUCUAGGAUGAAGCCCUGUCCCGUUCUGAGAUCCAUCCACGAUCCUGCUCCACAGAGUUCCCCAGCUAGUGUCCACAGCUAGUGUCAGCGCAGUCUACAUAACCCAGUGUUAAUCUGCAUUGAUUAAAAAACUGAAUUUGUUGACAAUGUUGCAACCUUAUACCACUUCACUAGCUAUGGUCAGAACACUGGGUCCAGACAUUUUAUCUCCAUGACAACCGUUUGAUGAGGGGAGAAACCAGGGAGCCUGGGAUACUUUGUUACAGCAGGCUUUCUGCUGGCAUUUCCAGUCUUACUACCAGGGCCAUCAUUUAGUGGUAAUUUUUUUUUAAGAGUACACUUAACAAAAAAAGGUUAACUUUUUUUUUUGCAACGUGUCUUUUGAAAAGAACGAAAGAGAAUAAAUAUUAUACAUGUGCAAUAAGAGUGAAUAAUGAUUUGUAUAUAAAAAUAAUAUUCUGUGUUUCUUUCCAAA